UACGUAGGCAGCGAGCGUUGUUCGGAGUUACUGGGCGUAAAGGGUGUGUAGGCGGUUCUUUAAGUUUGGGGUGAAAUCUCCCGGCUCAACCGGGAGGGUGCGCCGAAUACUGAGGGACUAGAGUGCGGGAGAGGUUACUGGAAUUCCCGGUGUAGCGGUGAAAUGCGCAGAUAUCGGGAGGAACACCAAUGGCGAAAGCAGGUAACUGGACCAUUACUGACACUCAGCUGCGAAAGCUAGGGGAGCAAACAGG
rnacentral:rRNA from 1 species